CAGCCGCCACGGUAAUACAGAGGGUGCGAGCGUUAAUCGGAUUUACUGGGCGUAAAGCGUGCGUAGGCGGCUAAUUGAGUCGGAUGUGAAAUCCCCGAGCUUAACUUGGGAAUUGCAUUCGAUACUGGUUAGCUAGAGUGUGGUAGAGGAUGGUAGAAUUCCAGGUGUAGCGGUGAAAUGCGUAGAGAUCUGGAGGAAUACCGAUGGCGAAGGCAGCCAUCUGGCCUAAUACUGACGCUGAGGUACGAAAGCAUGGGGAGCAAACAGGAUUAGAUACCCCCGUAGUCCCUGUCUCUUAUAC
rnacentral:rRNA from 1 species